AGCGAACGCUGGCGGCGUGCCUAACACAUGCAAGUCGAACGUGAAAGGGAGCAAUCCUGAGUAAAGUGGCGUACGGGUGAGUAACGCGUAGGUAACCUACCUUACAGUUUGGAAUAACCUGCCGAAAGGCGGGCUAAUACUGGAUACGACAACGAAUUUAUAUAUGGAUUUGUUGAGAAAGGGUGCUUUAAGAGAGCAUUCGCUGUGAGAUGAGCCUGCGUCCCAUUAGCUAGUUGGUGAGGUAAGAGCUUAUCCAAGGCGAUGAUGGGUAGCUGGUCUGAGAGGAUGAUAAGCCACACUGGAACUGCAACACGGUCCAGACUCCUACGGGAGGCAGCAGUGGGGAAUCUUGGGCAAUGGACGAAAGUCUGACGCAGCAACGCCGCGUGAGUGAAGAAGGCCUUCGGGUUGUAAAGCUCUGUCAUUAGGGACGAAAAUGCGUAGGUCAAAUAGGCUUACGUACUGACGGUACCUAAGAAGGAAGCACCGGCUAACUUCGUGCCAGCAGCCGCAGUAA
rnacentral:rRNA from 1 species